GUAUUUUUAGUAGAGACAGGGUUUCACCAUGUUGGCCAGGCUGAUCUCGAACUCUUGACCUCGAGUGAUCCACCCCCCUCGACCUCCCAAAGUGCUGGGAUUACAUGCGUGUGAGCCACUGCCUCCAGCUAAGAAACACAAUUUAAAAGUAAGAACAGGGUCGGGCGCGGUGGCUCACGCCUGUAAUCCCAGCUCUUUAAGAGGCCAAGGUGGGUGGAUUACUUGAGGUCAAGAGUUCAAAGCCAGCCUGGCCAACAUGGCGAAAUCCCGUCUCUACUAAAAAUACAAAAAAAAUAAGCCAGGCGUGGUGGUGUGCGUCUCCAAUCCCAAUUACUAGGGAGGCUGAGGUGGGAGAAUUGCUUGAACCCAGGAGUUGGAGGUUGUAGUGAACCAAGAUCGUGCCACCGUACUCCAGCCUGGGCAACAGGACAAUUGUGCCACUACACUCCAGCUUGGGUAACAGAGUGAGACCUCACCUAAAAAAAUAAAAUAACCCAUACAGUAAAAUUGACCUGACCACAAUUAUCUCACUGCAGCCUGGAACUGUUGGCCUCAAGCAAUCCUCUAACCUCAGCCUCCCAAAGUGCUGGGAUUACAAGUAUGAGCCACCAUGCCCAGCAACUCAAUGUUAAUUUUAAAAACUUUUUUUUUUUAGAAGAAUGAAAAAA
rnacentral:lncRNA from 10 species